UCUAGGUCCCUGUGGCAUACAAAACGUGAUUUUCCAUUGUCACAUCGACGGUGGAAGACAGGUGAGCAAUGGUUUCAUAGGAUUUCUACAUGUUCUAGUGGUUACAAUAAUGUAAAAGAAAGUCAUAUAUAUUUUACUCUUCAUUGGAUCACAUAAGUUCAUAGGAAUUUGGUCGAAGUUCUAUCGCCAUUUCAUUCCGAUCUUUUUUUAUAUAUAUUUCAGUGACGUUUUGUGGUUGCUUAACCAUUGCAAAUUUAUUACAAACGUAGACGCGGCACCAAAAAGUUCCAUCGGAUAUGGAUUUUGCGUUUUCACGUUAGAGGCACUGACUGUCGUGGAGAAAAACAUCCAAGAUACCUUUUCAGAAAACGGGAACCACCCUUUGGUAAAGCUCGUAGCUAACGAAAAGCUGAAAUCAGCUUACAAGAAGAACAAAAGACUAGUUUCAUCGUAUACAGAAUCCGUCCUCGUCAAGGAAGCGUGUUCAGUGAUCAUGCAAGAGGUAGAGAGUAUGGUCUUUGAU